CAGCCGCCACGGGAAUACGUAGGUGGCAAGCGUUGUCCGGAAUUAUUGGGCGUAAAGGGCUCGCAGGCGGUUUCUUAAGUCUGAUGUGAAAGCCCCCGGCUCAACCGGGGAUGGUCAUUGGAAACUGGGAAACUUGAGUGCAGAAGAGGAGAGUGGAAUUCCACGUGUAGCGGUGAAAUGCGUAGAGAUGUGGAGGAACACCAGUGGCGAAGGCGACUCUCUGGUCUGUAACUGACGCUGAGGAGCGAAAGCGUGGGGAGCGAACAGGAUUAGAUACCCGCGUAGUCCCUGUCUCUUAUAA
rnacentral:rRNA from 1 species